UGGAAACCUAACCCCGCCCAAACCCCAGAUCGGAGCCACCACAUCUCGCCGACUCACCCAGACGGCCAGACCCCCCACGGAGCCAGCCUGAGCCACCCACCUCCUUGAUACUCGAAGGCCGAAGCCUUCCUCUUCCUCCAAAUCUCACCUCCUUCACUCCUUGAUACUGGAAGUCGAAGCCAGCCUGAGCCACCCACUCACCACCUCCAACCUCGCCGCCUCCACCCAGAAAGCCUCCACCCAGCAGCGUUUCUGAGUUCUGUAGGGUCACCUCACCACCUCCGACCUCGCCUCCUCCACCCAGAAAGUCUCCCACCCAGCCACCGAUUCGAGUGCAUAUGGAGCCCGAGCCAUCUAUUCAGGUAAACUUUACUGAUGCAUUGUUGCCUACUUGCCUUGUUGGUAUUGCUGCUUGCUGGUUAUUGUUCAAUUUAUUCAUGUUAGGAUUAUUGUUGCCUCGGAUCAAAGUUUGUAGGAUCAAAGUUUUGAAUUUGGCUUCUAAAAUAGAGGCUUUCAGUUUCUGAUAGGGAUGUCCAACUCCAACGUGUUAUCUUAGGUCACAAAUUAUGUAAUAUUAAUGGGACCCUUUCAGUAACAAGUUCUUCAAAAUUACCAACAAACCAAAACAAAAAUCUCAAAUUAAUAAAAUUAUGUUUCACUGCAAUACGCAAUUUUAGUUUUCAAUUGCCAAGUCAGAGUGUUCAAUUUGUUGGUAUAAUGGUAUUGUUGUUUAGUGUUUAAUUUGCCAAGUUCAAUUUGUUCAUUGCUUGUUCAGAUUAUCAAGUUUUGUUCUGUUUGGUUUAUUGCUAGUUCAUUGCUUGUUUAUUGCUGGUUUUGUUCAUGUUGCACCCACUCGUGAUCCCAAUGAAGAAGAUUCUGGUGUUGAGUCUGAUUAAAGUACAUCUUGUUAAGUUUUAUGGUUGGUUUGCAUUAUGAAGUUUUAGCUAUUUUGUUGGAGAAGACACCAUAACUUUGCUAUCAGUUUAAUGACAAUUUAUUUUUAUUUUCAGUUGUGUUGAAUGUUGAGCUAUUAAACUUCUUUAAUUGUCGUAUUUGAAUUCUAUUGUCGUUAUAUUUCAUUAGAUCAAGACUUUGUUAGCUAUUGUGUAUUUUGGCUUGUUGAUUUCAAUCU